GAUGAACGCUAGCGGCAGGCUUAACACAUGCAAGUCGAGGGGUAUAGUUCUUCGGAAUUAGAGACCGGCGCACGGGUGCGUAACGCGUAUGCAAUCUACCUUUCACAGAGGGAUAGCCCCAGAGAAAUUUGGAUUAAUACCUCAUAGUAUAGCAGUUUCGCAUGAAACCACUAUUAAAGUCACAACGGUGAAAGAUGAGCAUGCGUCCCAUUAGCUAGUUGGUAAGGUAACGGCUUACCAAGGCAACGAUGGGGUAGGGUCCGUGAGAGGGAGAUCCCCCACACUGGUACUGAGACACGGACCAGACUCCUACGGGAGGCAGCAGUGAGGAAUAUUGGACAAUGGGCGCAAGCCUGAUCCAGCCAUGCCGCGUGCAGG
rnacentral:rRNA from 1 species